CCUACGGGUGGCAGCAGUAGGGAAUAUUGCUCAAUGGGGGAAACCCUGAAGCAGCAACGCCGCGUGGAGGAUGAAGGUUUUCGGAUUGUAAACUCCUUUUGUUAGAGAAGAUAAUGACGGUAUCUAACGAAUAAUCACCGGCUAACUCCGUGCCAGCAGCCGCGGUAAUACGGGGGGAGCAAGCGUUACUCGGAAUCACUGGGCGUAAAGAGCGCGUAGGCGGGAUAGCAAGUCCGAUGUGAAAUCCUAUGGCUUAACCCUAGAACUGCAUUUGAAACUUUUAUUCUAGAGUAUGGGAGAGGUAGGUGGAAUUCGUGGUGUAGCGGUAAAAUGCGUAGAGAUCAAGAGGAAUACUCAUUGCGAAGGCGACCUGCUAGAGCAUAACUGACGCUGAUGCGCGAAAGCGUGGGGAGCGAACAGGAUUAGAUACCCGGGUAGUC
rnacentral:rRNA from 1 species